CGUGAGGCCCUUCCCCCCCACCAUCGCUGCCAUCGAGGAGCAUUUACUCAGUGAGUGGAAGAGGUUUGUUUGAAAGAGACCGCAAUGGAGAGACCAGCGCCCAGGGAAGCGAGGGAACAGCAGGCUCCUUCUAGCAACGCAUCGAGAUGCAAAUACUUGAAGGACCAGGAUGAUGUUGUAUUUCCUCGGUGCAAAGCCAAGUCUGACCAGUUACUUCUAAUAAUCAGCAGAAUGUGACCAGCUCUGCCAAGGUGGCAAGUGGAUGACAGUCUCAAAAUGUCCUUGAAUGGAUUGACUUGCUUGGCCUGAAGGCAAUGAAGAGUUCACAAAAGGGUAGGAGUCAUGGACAGAGCAGACCCGGUAAGAACGGCAAAUUUCACUCUCAUAAGGGCCAUCAGAGACAGGUAUGGGAGUUGGCCAAAUGGCCCCCCGAGCCUGCUCCACCAUUCAAUAGGACUGUGGUUGAUACACCAUUCUUCAUGUCCAAUUUCCUGCCCUUUCCUUUGAUUCCCGGCUAAUUAAGAAACUGUCAAUCCCAGCCUUAAAUCUGCCUUCCCCCUGCUGCCACAAAUACACAUGUUCUCUGUGGCAAGAAGUACCAAAGAUUCCUAGCUCCCUUAGAGAAGAAAUACAUUCUCAUGUCAGUCUUCACUAAUGAACCAGAUGGUUCUUUGUUCCUGACAAUGGUCAUCAUUCGAGUCUUAACUCCAGAUCUGUUUUGUUUAAAGUUGAAUUCAAAAUCCAUCACCUGACACAGCAAGGUUCAAAUUCAAGUCCUCGGAGUAUACCCUGGACGUCUGACAGAAUUAGAUAUUACCUCCCGAUUAGUUUGAAAUUGAAAGUGAAUCUUAUCAAAGUGCAGUGCUCAGAUCAGAAUAAAUUGCCCCGCACUAUUGAGCUAAACAUUGACAGUAGUGGAUUCCCUACAGUGUAGAAUUAGGCCAUUGGCCCAUCAAGUCUGUACCUACGCUCCGAGGAACAUUCCACCCAGACCCGUGCUGCUAACUGUCCCUGUAACCAUGCAUUUCCCAUGAUUAAUCUCCCUAAUCUACCACGCCCGGACACUAUGAGCAAUUUAGCAUGACCAAUCCACCUAACCUGCACAUCUGUAGACAACGGGAGAGGACUGGAGCCCCCGGUGGAAACCACACAGACAAUAUGAGGCAGCAGUGCUAACCACUGAGCCAUUGUGUUGCCCAGUGUUUUCCCCAUGUAGGGCUUGGUUAGCUCAGUUGACUGUCUGAUUGUGCUGAAAACAUGUGGUUUAGUUUCUGCACUGGUUGAGAUUGCUGUGAAUGAUCGUUCCCCUAUGCCUUAGAUGUGGUGACCCUCAGGUUAGACAGUAAAACAAUUGUUGUUGCUCUUCUCUCUCUCUCUCUCUCUCUGUAAUGUGACAACAGUGAGUCUACAUGAGCCCUGCUAAAAACGUAACUUUGCUGAUUAAAAAUGAACUGCCAGCUUUUUCACUGCAAAAUAACUUCGGUGUUUCCUGCCUGAUGCAACAUCACAGUGAGCUGUAAAUAAAAGAAAAGACAUUUUAAUGACAAAAUGUAUCUAAAUGCACGGGGAGAGGGUGUAGAGGCAGAUUUACCAGGAUGUUGCCUUAGACGCUGGAGUGUGUCACUGAUGGAGAGAGAUUGGACAGACUGGGGUUCUUUAUCCUUCGAGCAGAGGAAAUUGAGACGCUGGACAUGAUUGAGAUCUAUCAAAUGAUGAGGGACCAUUGGUUGGGUAAGCAGAAAGAAACUUUUCCUCCUUGAUGGAGGGACCAGUGAGGGAAAACGUUUUCACCCAGAGACUGGUAGGGAAUCUGGAACUCGCUACCUGUGAAGAUGGGAAAGCCAGAAACCCACAUCACAUUGAAGAAGGAUUUUGAUGUGCAGCUGGGAUGCCAAGGCAAUGGGCUAAGUGCUGGGGAAAUGGAAUUAGAGAAUAGUGAGGUGGUUGUUUUUGACUAGCACAGACGCAGUGGGCCUUUUUUUUUGUGCUGGAGACCUCUCCGCCACUAUGGCUAGCUCACUUUGAGAUGUGUGUUCUACAUCCAGUAUACUAUUCAAAUACAAGGUGAUUUUGUCCAAUUCAUUUUCUGAGGUAAGGGGUUUGUCUUAUGAAGAGAGAUUGAGCAGUUUCGGCUGGUAAUCUCUGGAGUUUAGAAGAAUGAGAGGCAAUCUCACUGAGGGAUAUAAGAUGGAAAGGAGAAGGAAAGAGAAUGCUUGCUCAUGAGGGACAAUCUGGAACAAGAGGUCAUCAUUUCAGGAGAAGGGGGUGGGACAGAUUGAAAACAGAGAGAAGGAGGAAUGGCUUCUCUCCCAGGGAGAGAGGGAUGUGAAUCUGGGGGAUUUGCUGUGCUGUGGGUACAUACUGCUGUUCCCGAGUGUGUGGGGAAUGUUGGGACACUGAAUAAAUUAGAGGAGGAGACACACAGAUUUGUAAUCAAUGAUGGCUGAAUGGAAGUGGGGGCAGGAAACUGGAGCUGAGGCCAAGAUGGGUCAGCCUCGCUGUAUUGAAAGGGGCCGCCAGCACCCAAGAGGCUGAAUGGUCUUCUCCUACUUCUAGCCCAUAAGUUGUAUUGGUCAUUCAGUUUCCUGCGCACAUUUUAGUUUGGGUGGUACAUACAGUAGGGACAGAAAGCUCUUAUUCUGAGGUGCUAAAGUGUGUAAUCCAUUACAGGUCACUCAGUAAGAGUGAAUCUAAGAACCAUAUGAUAACGGAGCAGAAUUCGGCCAUUUGGCCCAUCAAGUCCGCUCCGCCAUCUGAUUGUGGCUGAUAUGUUUCUAAAUCAUAUUUUGCCUUCUCCCCCUGAUCCUUGAUCCCCUUACCAAUCAAGAACCUAUCUAUCACUGUCUUAAUCACUCAAUGACUUGGCCUCCACAAUCCUCUGUGGCAAUGAGUUCCACAGAUUCAUCACACUCUGGCUGAGGAAAUUCCUGCUCAUCUCAGUUCGAAAGGGUCACCUCUUCACUCUGAGGCUGUGCGCCUCAUGUUCUAGUGUCUAUCCAGGCAUCUCAAUAUUCUGUAAGUUUCAAUCAGAUUACCCCUCUUCCUUCUAGACUCCAUUGAGUACAGACACACAGUCCUCAACCACUCCUCAUCAGACAUGACCUUCAUCUCUGGGAUCUUGUAAAUCUCCUCUGGACCUCCCUACAAGGCCAGCACAUCUUUCCUGAGAUACAGGGCCCAAGUCUGCUCACAAUAUUCCAAAUACGGUCUGACCAGAGCCUUAUACAUCUUGAGCAGUCAAUCUCUGCUGUUGUAUUCUAGCCCUCUUGAAAUGAAUUCUAAUGUCACAUUAACUGCCAAAUGAACUUGCAUAUUAACUUUAAGGGAACCCUGAACUAGGACUCCCAAGUCUGUUUGUGCUUUAGAUUUCCGAAGCCUUCCCCAUUUGGAAAACAGUCAAUGCCUCUAUUCCUACCCAAGUGCAUAACCUCACACUUUUCCCCCCAUUGUAUUCCGCUUGUGAUUUCUUUGCCCACUCUCCGAGCCUGCCCAAGCCCUUCUGCAGCCUCUCUGCUUCCUCACCAUUACCUGUCCCUCUACCUAACUUUCUGUCAUCAAAGAAAUAGGAGAUAACAAAGCUCGCCAUGUGAACGAUUUUCAGGAAUAACCAAUUAGUUCACUACUGCCCGUUCGAGAAGCAAAUCUGCCAUCAAUACUUGGUCUGGCCUGUACGUGACUCGAGAUGCACAGCAAUGUGGUUGACUCUUCACUGCCCUCUGUGCAAUUAGGCAUGGGCAAUGAGUGCCGUCCCCAGCCAGCACCACUCACAGCCCAAGAACAUCUAAACAGAUAAUAGGAUGGAAUAUCAAGGUGGCAGAUUAAUCAUCCAUUUUAAUACAACACAAAAAAUAAUGCAGAUAAAAUGAAGAUUGGCCGGGUGAUUGACAGUGAGGAGAAGGUGUUAGGUUACAGGACUAUUGGUCAGAUGGGCAGGCCAGUGCAGAUGGGGUUGAACCCUGAUAAAUGGGAGGUGAUGCACUUUGGCAAAAGGAAGACAAGGAAGAACUCAAUGAAAGGCAGGGCACUACAAAGCUCAGAGGAACAGAAGGAUGUGAGGGUGUUUGUACACAGAUCCCUGAAGGUGGCAGGACAUGUUGAUAGGGCAGUUAAGAAGGCACAUGGGACACUUGUCUUUAUCAGUCAAGGUACAGAUUGUGAGAGCAAAGAGGUGAUGUUGGAGCUGGACAGGACUUUGGUGAGGCUGCAGGUGGAGCACUGUGUGCAGUUCCAGUUUCUGCACUAUAGGAAGGAUGUGAUUGCACUGGAGGGGGUGCCAAGGAAAUUCACCAAGAUGCCUGGGAUAGAGAAUUUAAGCGAUGAAGAGAGGUUGGAUAGGCUCGAGUUGUUUGGAGCAGAGGAGGCUGAGGAUGGGCCUGACAGAGGUGUGUAAGAUUAUGAGGGGCAUUUACAGGAGGGAGAGGAACCUGCUGUUGCCCUUGGUUGAAGGGUCAAAAUGUUGAGGGGAGGGGGGUCAUCAUUUUAAAGUGAAAGGGCAGGAGGUUUACGGGGAGAUUUGAGAAUUGCUUCACCCAGAGAAUGAUGGGAGUCUGAAAAGCACUACUUCGGGGGAUAGUUCAGGUGGGACACUGAAAUAAACUCUAAAAUGUUCUUGGUCAACCAACUGUUAUGUCAUAGUAUUCAAGGCUGUUAUCCUUGUGGGGGGAGGUGGGAUUAGUUUAGCUGGGAUCGUGCAGAUUGAUGGGCUGAAGAGUCUCUUCUGUACCAUCUAUAACUACAGCUCUAUCACUCAUUCACUAGAGUAAAGGGGAGAGAAGCUAAAAUAACUUGAAAGUGAAAGUAGUUGAUUGAUUCUGCUCAACAGGAUCUCGCUAUCUGUGUCAUAACAGUGAGCACACGGUGGGAGAUGGUGACGCUGGUUUUCCACUGCUUCUAUUAUCACCUGAGCCCUCAGCAAUGUUUAGGAUGUGACAGAGAGUACAACGUGACCUCAUAAAGGAUAUGGUCCAGAGUCAGACGAGGCCCAGUUUAGAAUGAGGCCCAGAGGAGGAUGUGGGCCAGUACAUAACCCAGUGUACAAUGUGUCCCAGUGUAGGAUUUGUUUAAAUUUAGCAUGUGGCCCAGUGUAGGAAGUUUCCUAGUGUAGGAUGUGUCCCAGUUUAACAUGCGGCCCAAAUUAGUAUAUUUCCAAAUUUCAAAUGUUUCGCAGUGUGGAUGUGGCCCAAUUUAUGAUGUAGCAACACAGUGUGGAGAUGGAGGAACACCACAGGCCAGGCAGCAUCAGAGGAGAGGAAAAGUUAACUUUUUGGGUCGGGACCUUUCUUCAGAAAUUGGGCAGGGGUAGGGAGCUGUAAAUAAAUAAAGGUAGAAGUUAGGUGGGAUGGUGAUGGUUUGAUGCAGGUAGGGAGUGGUGGGGAUUGGUCAAUGGCAUGGGUGGGGUGCAUAGGCGUGAAGGAAGAUGGACAGCUUUAGGGUGUGGCCCAGUUUAGGAUUAGCCCAGUUUAGUAUUGGUCCAGUUAGGAUUGGCCCAAUACAGAAUGUGGCCAGUUUAGAAUGAGGCCCAGUGUAGAUAAAAGAGGUUGAGGAGUGACAUUGCUAAUCAGGGAUGGUAUCACAGCUGUAGAAAGGGAGAUCACCACGGAGUGUUUCUCCUCUGAGUUAGUAUGGGUGGAAGUCAGGAACAGAAAAGGAGCAGUCACUUCAUUGGGAGUGUAUCAAUUUUCUCCAGGGCUUUUCCAUUUACCAUACAGUUUGCUCUUGAAUUGGAUCUUCCAAAAUGCAUCACCUCGCAAUUGCCUGGAUUGAACUCCAUCUGACAUUUCUCCGCCCAACUCUCCAAUAUAUCUAUAUUCUGCUGCAUUCUCCGACAAUCCCAUUCACUGUCUGCUACUCCACCAAUCUUAUUGUCAUGUGCAAAAUUUUGUCUGCCUUCAAAAUUUUGACAUAUUCUGCAUUCAUUGAUUUCUGACGAAACAAAUCCGGAAGAUUCACAGCUGACUGAAAGAAAGAGUAAAAUUCCCAUGUAGUGGUUUGAAAUAGAUGCUUCCCAUUUUCAGAAGGAAUGACCUCUUCAUUCUAGUUGACCCCACAAUGCGGUAUAUCCACUCUGCAUCCACCCGGUCACAUCCAGUAGAGACCUUAAAUGCUUAAAUUAAGUCACCUCUGACACUGUUAAACUCCAGAGGACAGAGGCCCAACUUGACUUUGCGUUGCUCAUAAGCCAGAGCUGAGACUGAAACCUGACCAGCCAUAGAGCAGCUUGACAGCCUGAGUGGCCUUUCCUUGUUCCUUGUUUCUACCGUAAAUACGCACGUAAAGCAGAUGAUUGGCAACAGGGACUGGAAGGCAUAGUGAAUGACCCUUUCCACUUUGAUGGAUUCGACAGGAUAGGGUGAAAGUAAUUAAGACUCAGAGUUUGUCUUUGUUUGAAAUAAGGUGCAAUUGGGCACAAAGUCCUCUCAAACAUAACGUUCGGUGCAGAGUUGGCGGGAUGUGGGGAGUAGUGCAUAUCAAUACACAAUUUCACACCAUAACUCACAAUCAUACUAAUGCCAGCUGGUAGAGCGAGUUUUGAAAAGAUUUGUAGCUCAGGUUGAGUUUCUGGAUGUGAGUUUGCUGGCUGAGCUGGAAGGUUCUUUUUCAGACAUUUCAUCACCAUUCUAGAUAACAUCAUCAGUGAGCCUCCGGUGAAGCGCUGGUGUUAUGUCCCGCUUUCUAUUUAUCUGUUUAGGUUUCCUUGGGUUGGUGAUGUCAUUUCCUGCGUUGGUGAUGUCAUUUCCUGUUCUUUUUCUCAGAGGAUGGUAGAUUGGCUCCAAAUCAAUGUGUUUGUUGAUGGAAUUCUGGUUGGAAUGCCAUGCUUCUAGGAAUUCUCGUGUGUGUCUCUGUUUGGCUUGUCCUAGGAUGGAUGUGUUGUCCCAAUCAAAGUGGUGUCCUUCCUUAUCUGUAUGUAAGGAUACGAGUGAUAGUGGGUCAUGUCAUUUUGUGGCUAGUUGAUGUUCAUGUAUCCUGGUGGCUAGCUUUCUGCCAGUUUGUCCAAUGUAGUGUUUGUCACAGUUCUUGCAAGGUAUUUUGUAGAUGACGUUCGUUUUAUUUGUUGUCUGUAUAGGGUCUUUUACAGUGUAAAAUGUGGCUCAAUUUAUAAUGCGGGCCAGUUUGCAAAGAGACCCAGCCUAGUCAACAAAGUGGUUAAAUCUCUAUGGAGCAUGUGGGACUUGUAACCAUGUCUCAGAGCAGUCAUGCAUCUGGCUGAAAGGUGGACCAAAUGGGUGGAAUGGCCUACUCUUGUUCUAGUUUCUUCUGGACCUGAUGGUCAACAUUAAAAUCUGGAGAGGCAGAGAAUUCACUCAUUUGGGAAGUGGUAUCACAAGCCUCCGGGCAUCGCCGUGACCAUCAGGACUCAAUGAAUCAAACAGCGUGCAGUAUGAUAUAUUGUGUGGUCUCUCUCUGCAAAAACGGUUGUAGUUCGACACAGAAUACGGACAUCAGCACUCAGCGUUUACGUACCGAUAGUCACCACUUCCAAUGGUUUACUUCGUGGAGAGUGGCUCAGAUAGCUGACUCUUUGACACUGGUAAGAGCUUCCAGUUUUCCUGUCAGCUCUUUUAUUAAAUUCACUAGAUAUAGCCUCAUAAUUGUUGUUUUUAUACCAGGAAUCUUUUAUAUAUGUGUUUCUGUACCGACACUUCCAAGUGAACCACUGCCCUUCUUUGAUGAUGCCAUCACUGGGAUUAGUUAUAACUACUUCUGGAUAUUGGCCUGCAGAAGAAAAGCAGUAGUUAUUUCCAACAAGCAAAACUCCAAUUGAAAUGUUUCACUCUUCAUCACAAUUAAUGCAUUUGCUGUUUCUAUCCAAUGCAAAAAUACACAGUUGGUCAAUUAAUCAGUGAUUCUACUCUCCACAGCCUGCCCAAUACCAACAAGGCACAAGUUAGGAAUGAGGGAGUACUCCUGACUUGCCUGGCUGGGUGCAGCUCUAUUAACACUUGAGAAGCUUGACACUAACCAGGGUGAAGGAGACCCCACUUGAUUGGUACCACAUCCACAAACAUCCACUUUCUCCACCACUGACGCUCAGUAGCAGCAGUGUCUCCCAUCUACAAGAUGCACUGUUGAAAUUCACCAAAGAUCCUCAGGCUGCACCUUUCAAACUCACAAUUACUUCCAUCUAGAAGGACAAUGAUAGCAGCUACAUGGGAACACCACCCCCUGCACAUUCCCCUUCAAGCCACUCACCAUCCCAACUUGCAAACAUAUCAGUCAUUCCCUCAGUGUUGCUGGGUCAAAAUCCUGGAAUUCCCUCCCUAGGGACAUGGUGGGUCUACCUACAACAUGUGGGCUGUGGUGGUACAAGAAUGCAGCUCACUACCACCUACUCAAGGGGCAACUAGGGUUAGGGGCAAUAAAUGCUGGGCCGAGCCAGUGACACCCAUGUUCCAUCAAUAGAAGCUACCUUCAAUGGGAUUCCAUCUCCACAAGGACUGUGUCGUGGUCACUCUCACCGAUACUGUCAAGGACAGAUGUAUUAACAACUGACAGAUCGGUAAGGAUGAGGUCAGGUAUGAUUUUUUCCCUCCUGUUGGUUCCCUCACCACCUGCCGCAGACCCAAUCUUAUAGGAACGUCCUUUAGGAUCUGACCAGCCCGGCUAGCAGUGCUGCUGCCGAGCUACACUAGGAGGUGGGCAUUGAAAUCUGUGCUUCAUCUCAGUGUCUUUCAACAUGGAGGUGUUACUGAUUCAUCAGCCAAGGGAGGGCGGUACGUGGUAAUCAGUAGGAGGGUUCCUUACCCGUGUUUAACCUGAAGCCACGAGGCUUCACGUUAUCCGGAGUCAAGAUGAUACCUGCCAAUGUAACUGCUGCCUGACUGCAUACCACUGCAGCAUCACCUCUUCUGGGUCUGUCUUGCCGGUGGGACAGGACAUAUCCAGGGACGGUGAUGGUGGUACCUGGGACAUUGACAGUCAGGUAUGAUUCGAGGAGUCUGACGGUGACCCUCCCAAUUUUGACACUGGCCCCCAGAUGUUAGUGAGGAAGUCUUUGCAAGGUCAUCAGGGCUGUUUAUGCUGUUGUCUUUUCUGAUGUCAGGUCAAUCCUGGACGAUCCAUCCAGCCUCUUUUCAUUGUGCAGACUUCAUGGCGAUAGAUAUAACUGAAUGACUUGUUCAGCCAUUUCAAAGAACAGUUAAAGGGUCACUGGAUUCAAAGUGUUGACUCUGUUUUCCUCUCUCUUUCUUUCUCUCUCCACAGAAAAUGACAUAGCUGCUGAGUUUCUCUAGCACUCCUGUGUUUAUAACCUGUAAUGUUAACUUUGUUUUUCUCUCUCUCUCCACAGUCCUGCUAAGAUUUUGAAAUUUGUCACUCUGGCUUUCCUGCCCUGAUUGUUGCAAGAUCAGAAACUUCAGACAGAAUCUGUUCAUUUUUCAGGUACAGUGCUGCCAAGUGACUAUUGACAAAGAUUCCCAACUUCCUGAAGUGGCCUGUAUCCUACUUACAGAAGUAUUCUAUUCGGGAUGGGGGAUGGCAGUCACCAUCAAAAGAUAAAUGUUCACUGUAACAGCUGGUACAAAGUACAGCUUUCAGGUGAUUUUGAAUGUGAAAAAGAAACACAUCAUUGGUGCAUCAGUUACAGAUCAUGGUCAAUUCAGCACAGUCUAACUAGAUCAUUGGGCUGCUCUCUGAUCAGAGAGAGAUGACUGAAUGGUGACUUGACCUGAGGCUCACCACGCCUCAGGCCAGGGAGAGGUUGAAAGGGAGAGUCCUUCACAGUAACUGCAUCCGGUGUAGGAUUUGAACCCACUCUGUUGCCGUUUUAAUGCAUGACAAAGCAGCCAGCUCUCACAGGGCAGAAUUUCUGCUUUUUUUGAAGUAGCAUCUGAAGCUAUGGGGGUCUCAACAGACUUGGAAGCUUGAAGAAAUGUCUCCUGGCUGCUACUCUCUCUGAAUUUUCUCUCGAUGUUUACUGCUUCUGGAUGGAAAGAACUGCCCAUGAGAAUCUGUGUCUGAAUUUUCCUUUUAUUUUGCCAUGGGGUUAAGGGGAUGUUACAGUCUUGAAAGAGUUUAUUAGAAAUGUUUACUGCAUCAAUUAUUCUGCAAUAUUUCCAAUAUAAUUGUUAUUCUUAAGUCCUCUUUCUUUUGUUGCAUUUUAA